GACGUAGGGGGCCAGCGUUGUUCGGAAUUACUGGGUGUAAAGGGUUCGUAGGCGGUGUGGCAAGUCGGGAGUGAAAUCUCUGGGCUCAACCCAGAGGCUGCUUCCGAAACUGCUGUGCUUGAGUGUGGGAGAGGCGCGUGGAAUUGCAGGUGUAGCGGUGAAAUGCGUAGAUAUCUGCAGGAACACCCGUGGCGAAAGCGGCGCGCUGGACCACUACUGACGCUGAAGAACGAAAGCUAGGGGGAGCAAACAGG
rnacentral:rRNA from 1 species